rnacentral:rRNA from 1 species
GACGAACGCUGGCGGCGUGCUUAACACAUGCAAGUCGAACGGAAAGGCCCUGCUUUUGUGGGGUGCUCGAGUGGCGAACGGGUGAGUAACACGUGAGUAACCUGCCCUUGACUUUGGGAUAACUUCAGGAAACUGGGGCUAAUACCGGAUAGGAGCUCCUGCUGCAUGGUGGGGGUUGGAAAGUUUCGGCGGUUGGGGAUGGGCGCGCGGCUUAUCAGCUUGUUGGUGGGGUAGUGGCUUACCAAGGCUUCGACGGGUGGCCGGCCUGAGAGGGUGACCGGCCACAUUGGGACUGAGAUACGGCCCAGACUCCUACGGGAGGCAGCAGUGGGGAAUAUUGCACAAUGGGCGGAAGCCUGAUGCAGCAACGCCGCGUGCGGGAUGACGGCCUUCGGGUUGUAAACCGCUUUCGCCUGUGACGAAGCGUGAGUGACGGUAAUGGGUAAAGAAGCACCGGCUAACUACGUG